UCCAGCUCCCUGAAUGCAGAAGCCUUAGUUGAUGGCCUUCUCCAUGCUGGGAGCUGCCUUUC
rnacentral:pre_miRNA from 1 species